GUCUACACACACUUCAUAAAAGUCUUCCUCAGCCGGGAUGACACUGGAGAGCCUCGGUGCAGAUCGCAUAAUCAAAGCAGCGGCGAAUGGCUGGAGGCGAACUUCAGAGGCUUUUCUGCCCUUGUCUCCUUCCAUGACCUGCAAGAGCUGUAUUCAAAGUUUUCGGCGCUGGAAGCCUUGCCACAUUUGACAGUGAGACAGCUUGCAGAAGUCUCGUCCACACCAGGUCAGCUCACUUCUCCGGGUCAGGUUGGCAUGGUGAUGGCCCAUGUCCCAAACCA